CGGAGCUAUGUGUGAGAUUUCCCAUGGCCAGCAGAAACACUGCAGGCAGGGAGUGUAACCAUGAUUGGGAUGAAAUCAAUAGUUAUGAUGAGGACGACAAUGUCUGCAACGCAAACGACGUUGCCAGUCACGAAAGGAAAGAAAGAGUUGAAGGAAGGGGGAAAACCACAAGACACGUUAAAUCACAUACACAGUGAGGUGUUUUGGUGGUUACAUAACAUGAUAACAGCCCAGCACAAAACAGUGCAAAUAAAUCACAACGUUCUCCUCCUCCUCCCCUGUACAGACAUGCAGUGCAGCAGGGGCAUAGCUAUCUGGAGCCUGCCCAAGCUGCAUGUGGAAGCCUCCUCUCUUCUCCCCUGUUCCACAGUGGUUGGAAUUGUGAAAUGCCAGACAGGCACUAUGCUGGUGAUCGGCAGGCCCGGACCAAGAGUAUAGGACACAGGACUGAUUUCUUGUGUAAUGAGACAGAGAACGGCCCUCCUCCUCCUCUCCAGACCCACAGCCUCAGAGAGUUUGAACAGGUAAGGGCUUGUCUUCCUCUCUCCUAUUCUUAUGGUCUGGUACAGUGUGGUAGUCAGUGUUCAGACCUGU
ensembl:lncRNA